rnacentral:rRNA from 1 species
UGGAUCCAGACUUUGAUUCUGGCUCAGGAUGAACGCUGGCGGCGUGCCUAAUACAUGCAAGUCGAACGAAACUUCUUUAUCACCGAGUGCUUGCACUCACCGAUAAAGAGUUGAGUGGCGAACGGGUGAGUAACACGUGGGCAACCUGCCCAAAAGAGGGGGAUAACACUUGGAAACAGGUGCUAAUACCGCAUAACCAUAGUUACCGCAUGGUAACUAUGUAAAAGGUGGCUAUGCUACCGCUUUUGGAUGGGCCCGCGGCGCAUUAGCUAGUUGGUGGGGUAAAGGCUUACCAAGGCAAUGAUGCGUAGCCGAACUGAGAGGUUGAUCGGCCACAUUGGGACUGAGACACGGCCCAAACUCCUACGGGAGGCAGCAGUAGGGAAUCUUCCACAAUGGGCGAAAGCCUGAUGGAGCAACGCCGCGUGGGUGAAGAAGGUCUUCGGAUCGUAAAACCCUGUUGUUAGAGAAGAAAGUGCGUGAGAGUAACUGUUCACGUUUCGACGGUAUCUAACCAGAAAGCCACGGCUAACUACGUGCCAGCAGCCGCGGUAAUACGUAGGUGGCAAGCGUUAUCCGGAUUUAUUGGGCGUAAAGGGAACGCAGGCGGUCUUUUAAGUCUGAUGUGAAAGCCUUCGGCUUAACCGGAGUAGUGCAUUGGAAACUGGGAGACUUGAGUGCAGAAGAGGAGAGUGGAACUCCAUGUGUAGCGGUGAAAUGCGUAGAUAUAUGGAAGAACACCAGUGGCGAAAGCGGCUCUCUGGUCUGUAACUGACGCUGAGGUUCGAAAGCGUGGGUAGCAAACAGGAUUAGAUACCCUGGUAGUCCACGCCGUAAACGAUGAAUGCUAAGUGUUGGAGGGUUUCCGCCCUUCAGUGCUGCAGCUAACGCAAUAAGCAUUCCGCCUGGGGAGUACGACCGCAAGGUUGCAACUCAAAUGAAUUGACGGA